rnacentral:rRNA from 1 species
AUUGAACGCUGGCGGCAGGCCUAACACAUGCAAGUCGAACGAGUGGCGGACGGGUGAGUAAUGUAUGGGCAACUACCUGAUGGAGGGGGCUAACUACUGGAAACGGUAGCUACUACCGCAUACCGUCAGCUGUGCCCAGAUGGGAUUAGCUUGUUGGUGGGGUAUAGGCUCACCAAGGCGACGAGCCCUAGCUGGUCUGAGAGGAUGACCAGCCACACUGGAACUGAGACACGGUCCAGACUCCUACGGGAGGCAGCAGUGGGGAAUAUUGCACAAUGGGCGAAAGCCUGAUGCAGCCAUGCCGCGUGUAUGAAGAAGGCCUUCGGGUUGUAAAGUACUUUCAGCGGGGAGGCGUUACCCGCAGAAGAAGCACCGGCUAACUCCGUGCCAGCAGCCGCGGUAAUAC